AAGAAAGCAAACACAAAUAGACUUGGCAAGCCUCUAAUAUCAACACUCAAACACAUAUGCAUGUUCAAAUCAAAAGGUCUUUUCAUGGUUGUAAUGGGGCCAAGGACAAGGGAGGAUGACAUAUCAUACACAAGAAAGAAUAUCAAGUGGCUCAAAUCUCACACAGGGUAUUUUUGUCACAAUCAAAUCAACUCUCAAACAUCAUAAUCAUCUUCCAAGCAGAGAAAAGCAAGGAUUUCAAGCGAAUCAGAGUAUCAAUGAAGUGAAGGAAAAACUGACAACCUAAACAAAGUCCAGAAAUCAAGAUAAACAUGCAAAACUGUACACAAGACACAACAAAAACUACCUAGAAAAGAAAAAAUUUAACGCAGAAAACAUAAACUAACAACGAAAAAUCAGAGUCUCCCCCAAUAGACCACACUUAAACGACACAGUGUCCUCAAUGUGUCACAAGCAUAAGAUCACAAUCAUAAUAGUCAACAGAUCAAGGACAAGGGCAAUAAAAGCGGGAAAA
rnacentral:lncRNA from 1 species